rnacentral:misc_RNA from 1 species
UGUUACUAUGCUGCAAAGUUUAG